rnacentral:rRNA from 2 species
AUCGUAAAACUCUGUUGUUAGGGAAGAACAAGUGCCGUUCGAAUAGGGCGGCGCCUUGACGGUACCUAACCAGAAAGCCACGGCUAACUACGUGCCAGCAGCCGCGGUAAUACGUAGGUGGCAAGCGUUGUCCGGAAUUAUUGGGCGUAAAGCGCGCGCAGGUGGUUUCUUAAGUCUGAUGUGAAAGCCCACGGCUCAACCGUGGAGGGUCAUUGGAAACUGGGGAACUUGAGUGCAGAAGAGGAAAGUGGAAUUCCAAGUGUAGCGGUGAAAUGCGUAGAUAUUUGGAGGAACACCAGUGGCGAAGGCGACUUUCUGGUCUGUAACUGACACUGAGGCGCGAAAGCGUGGGGAGCAAACAGGAUUAGAUACCCUGGUAGUCCACGCCGUAAACGAUGAGUGCUAAGUGUUAGAGGGUUUCCGCCCUUUAGUGCUGCAGCUAACGCAUUAAGCACUCCGCCUGGGAGUCGGAGGCCC